rnacentral:lncRNA from 1 species
AUUUCUAAAUUCAGAAUCAAGAACAUUGACCUUGAUUUAGAUAGCUUAAAGUAUUAUCUAUCAAAAUUUAAACCGUUAAAUUAUAAACUCAUUAUAAUAAUCAAUAAAAAUUAACAAUUUUAAAAUAAUUUGAUUAUAAAGUAAACGAUAUCGAAAAGAUGUAAAAUUUUAUUUCUAAGAAUUUCAAAUACCUUAAAUCAAUUUUAAC